AACGUACGCUGGCGGCACGCCUAACACAUGCAAGUCGAACGAAGUAGCAAUACUUAGUGGCAGACGGGUGAGUAACAUGUAGGUAUCUGCCCUUUGGCCUGGAAUAACACGAGGAAACUUGUGCUAAUACUGGAUAAGUCUUUACGGAGAAAGCUUUAUGCACCAUUGGAUGAGCCUGCACUUGAUUAGUUUGUUGGUGGGGUAAUGGCCUACCAAGACUGUGAUCAAUAGCUGAUUUGAGAGGAUGAUCAGCCACAUUGGGACUGAGACACGGCCCAAACUCCUACGGGAGGCAGCAGUGGGGAAUCUUGCACAAUGGAGGAAACUCUGAUGCAGCGAUGCCGCGUGAGUGAAGAAGGCCUUUGGGUUGUAAAGCUCUUUCGUCGGGGAAGAAAAUGACUGUACCCGAAUAAGAAGGUCCGGCUAACUUCGUGCCAGCAGCCGCGGUAAUACGAAGGGACCUAGCGUAGUUCGGAAUUACUGGGCUUAAAGAGUUCGUAGGUGGUUGAAAAAGUUGGUGGUGAAAUCCCAGAGCUUAACUCUGGAACUGCCAUCAAAACUUUUCAGCUAGAGUAUGAUAGAGGAAAGCAGAAUUUCUAGUGUAGAGGUGAAAUUCGUAGAUAUUAGAAAGAAUACCAAUUGCGAAGGCAGCUUUCUGGAUCAUUACUGACACUGAGGAACGAAAGCAUGGGUAGCGAAGAGGAUUAGAUACCCUCGUAGUCCAUGCCGUAAACGAUGUGUGUUAGACGUUGGAAAUUUAUUUUCAGUGUCGCAGCGAAAGCGAUAAACACACCGCCUGGGGAGUACGACCGCAAGGUUA
rnacentral:rRNA from 1 species